UACAGAGGGGGCAAGCGUUGUUCGGAAUUACUGGGCGUAAAGGGCGCGUAGGCGGCCUGUUAAGUCGAACGUGAAAUCCCCGGGCUCAACCCGGGAACUGCGUCCGAUACUGGCAGGCUUGAAUCCGGGAGAGGGAUGCGGAAUUCCAGGUGUAGCGGUGAAAUUCGUAGAUAUCUGGAGGAACACCGGUGGCGAAGGCGGCAUCCUGGACCGGCAUUGACGCUGAGGCGCGAAAGCCAGGGGAGCAAACGGG
rnacentral:rRNA from 1 species